rnacentral:lncRNA from 1 species
UGGAAUGUCAAUAUACUCAGCAAGAAGGAAUUUUCUGUAAUAAAUAUGUUGAUGAAUUUUCGUAAAUAUAGAAAGAAUUGUUUACAUUAUAGUAGACAAAUUUAUUAUUCUAGUGACUCCAUAAAAGGUAAAUCAUGUAAUUGUGCUUGUGCAUUUAGUCAUUCUUUACAAGCAGUUCUUUUAUGAAAGCACCUUCUGGGCCUCUCGGGACACAGCUCAACUGGUGGAUCAAUCAACAUUGUCUUGCUUUCAGUGGCAAGGUGGAGAGUUCGAUUCCUGGUGAGAACCUGCGAUCAAAUAUUUGGUAUGGAGCAAUCAUUAUGGAGGAGGGUCUCUUGUGCGCAAAAGUGUACAGACAAUGGGGAGAACCUGUAAUCCAGUUGAGGUAUAACCCGCGAUUUACCCCCUCCAAGGUUCUAGGGAAAAGGGUCUUGGGGGUUCAGAAUUUAGUCUGGUGUAAGUUGGGAUACUUGGAUAAAAAAAAAAAAAAAAAAAAAAAAAACCACCUUCUGAAUUAUUUAAACUUUCACAUAAAUGUUAAAUGGGGAAAAUUAAUGUAAUUUGUACGAUAAUAUAGUAACUCCUGUACCUCAAAACUUCCCAUUGCAUAUGGAGAGGGAAAUCACGUGGCUGACUGACUCACCGAGCAAGGACUUUUCACCUUUCUCGGCUGUCGCCACUGAAGAGCUCGAUAUUUUGGAAGGAAGUGGACAUUAUAAUAGGUCAAAUCCACGUUCGUGGUGCUGCAAGAAGGCCUAGAAUUGACAAUAUGGAGAUUGUUGGAUUAGUUAUUACAAUUUUUUAUUUUUUAUUUUCGCUUUUCGAGAAGUUUUUUGUUCAAGCUACAAAAAUCUGUUCAUAUGAUAACCAUGUAAAAAGUGAAAACCGGUCCCAUAUUAUGCUGGACAGCUAACUCGGUUAAUCAAUGGACA